rnacentral:miRNA from 1 species
UGAUUGUGGGAGAGCAUUUCAU